UUAAAUCUUAUUAUCAAAGUCUCUUAGAUUAAUGAGAGAUUCUUUGAAGUCUUAGAGAGGGAUAACAUCAAUAUUUACAUUUUUUUUAAAGCAUAUGUACUUCAAAUUUUAUCAUACUAAUCCGAUCAUUUUAAUCCAUUUUAACUUUAAUUUUUUUAUCCAAGUUAAUCUGACUUGAAGUUAACCACUGCACUUUUUUUCCUUACCACACAUGGCAGUUUCAGGC
rnacentral:lncRNA from 1 species